rnacentral:lncRNA from 1 species
AUGAUAUAACAAAUCAGCCAAAACCUCAGUGACUCAUGAUAACAAGCAUCUUAUUCACUCUUUCAGGAAACUGCAAGUUGGUUGAGAUAUUUUUGCUUCACUCUGCAGGAUUCAGUUUGUGGAUCACAAGUAAAUCAGCUCCUUCCUUCCUAUACAUUCCUCACUUCCAUCCUGUAAAGUGCUUUGAACUGACUGCACCAUAGACUACAUCAUAGUCAAGCCAUGGUGACCCCUGUGAUGUACACAUACACCUCCAG